rnacentral:rRNA from 1 species
AUACGGAGGAUCCGAGCGUUAUCAGGAUUUAUUGGGUUUAAAGGGAGCGUAGGUGGAUUGUUAAGUCAGUUGUGAAAGUUUGCGGCUCAACCGUAAAAUUGCAGUUGAUACUGGUUUCCUUGAGUACGGUACAGGUGGGCGGAAUUCGUGGUGUAGCGGUGAAAUGCUUAGAUAUCACGAAGAACUACGAUCGCGAAGGCAGCUCACCGGGCCGGAACUGACACUGAUGCUCGAAAGUGCUGGUAUCAACCAGGAUUAGAUACCCUGGUAGUCCGCACAGUAAACGAUGAAUACACGCUGUUUGCGAUAUACAGUAAGCGGCCAAGCGAAAGCGUUAAGUAUUCCACCUGGGGAGUACGCCGGCAACGGUGAAACUCAAAGGAAUUGGCGUGG